rnacentral:rRNA from 1 species
UAAUAUGAUGGCGAGCUGACGGAGCGACGCCGCGUGGAGAGAGAGGCCUUCGGGUUGUAAAUCUCUGUUCAUCGGGGAAGAAUGGAGUGACGGUACCCGAGGAGGAAGCCCCGGCUAACUACGUGCCAGCAGCCGCGGUUAUU